GCGGCAGGCCUAACACAUGCAAGUCGAGGGGUAACAGGGGAGCUUGCUCCCGCUGACGACCGGCGCACGGGUGCGGAACGCGUAUGGAACCUGCCCCUGUCAGAGGAAUAGCCCGUGGAAACGUGGAUUAAUGCCUCAUGGUAUUGUGAAGUUGCAUGAUUUUACAAUUAAAGAUUUAUCGGACAGGGAUGGCCAUGCGUAUCAUUAGCUAGUUGGGGAGGUAACGGCUCACCAAGGCGACGAUGAUUAGGGGCCCUGAGAGGGGGAUCCCCCACACUGGUACUGAGACACGGACCAGACUCCUACGGGAGGCAGCAGUGAGGAAUAUUGGACAAUGGUCGGAAGACUGAUCCAGCCAUGCCGCGUGCAGGAAGACGGCCCUACGGGUUGUAAACUGCUUUUCUACAGGAAGAAAGGUUCCCUUGCGAGGGAGAUUGACGGUACUGUAGGAAUAAGGACCGGCUAACUCCGUGCCAGCAGCCGCGGUAAUACGGAGGGUCCGAGCGUUAUCCGGAAUCAUUGGGUUUAAAGGGUCCGUAGGUGGGGUUCUAAGUCAGAGGUGAAAGGUUGCAGCUCAACUGUAGAAUUGCCUUUGAUACUGGAGCUCUUGAGUUAUGUUGCUGUGGCCGGAACAUGUGGUGUAGCGGUGAAAUGCAUAGAUAUCACAUAGAACACCGAUUGCGAAGGCAGGUCACAAAGCAUACACUGACACUGAGGGACGAAAGCGUGGGGAGCGAACGGGAUUAGAUAACCCCGGUAGUCCACGCCGUAAACGAUGGAUACUAGCUGUUGGGUUUUCGGACUCGGCGGCCAAGCGAAAGUGAUAAGUAUCCCACCUGGGGAGUACGUUCGCAAGAAUGAAACUCANAGGAAUUGACGGGGGCCCGCACAAGCGGUGGAGCAUGUGGUCUAAUUCGAUGAUUACGCGAAGGACCUUACCAGGGGCUUAAAUGGGAGAUGACCGGUCAGAGAACGACCUUUCUCGGACAUCUUUCAAGGUGCUG
rnacentral:rRNA from 1 species